UGGGGAAUCUUAGACAAUGGGGGCAACCCUGAUCUAGCCAUGCCGCGUGAGUGACGAAGGUCUUAGGAUCGUAAAGCUCUUUCGCCGGUGAAGAUAAUGACGGUAACCGGUAAAGAAGCCCCGGCUAACUUCGUGCCAGCAGCCGCGGUAAUACGAAGGGGGCUAGCGUUGUUCGGAAUUACUGGGCGUAAAGCGCGCGUAGGCGGGUCAUUAAGUCAGGGGUGAAAUCCCGAGGCUCAACCUCGUAAUUGCCUCUGAUACUGGUGACCUCGAGUCCGAGAGAGGUGAGUGGAACUCCGAGUGUAGAGGUGAAAUUCGUAGAUAUUCGGAAGAACACCAGUGGCGAAGGCGGCUCACUGGCUCGGUACUGACGCUGAGGUGCGAAAGCGUGGGGAGCAAACAGGAUUAGAUACCCGUGUAGUCC
rnacentral:rRNA from 1 species